AGAGUUUGAUCCUGGCUCAGGAUGAACGCUAGCGGCAGGCUUAAUACAUGCAAGUCGAGGGGCAGCGGGGGUAGCAAUACCUGCCGGCGACCGGCAAACGGGUGCGGAACACGUACACAACCUUCCUUUAGGUGGGGGAUAGCCCAAAGAAAUUUGGAUUAAUACCCCGUAACAUUAUUGAAUGGCAUCAUUUAGUAAUUAAAGUUCCGGCGCUUAAAGAUGGGUGUGCGUCUGAUUAGGUAGUUGGUGAGGGUAACGGCCCACCAAGCCUUCGAUCAGUAACUGGUGUGAGAGCACGACCAGUCACACGGGCACUGAGACACGGGCCCGACUCCUACGGGAGGCAGCAGUAAGGAAUAUUGGUCAAUGGACGCAAGUCUGAACCAGCCAUGCCGCGUGGAGGAUGAAGGUCCUCUGGAUUGUAAACUUCUUUUAUUUAGGAAGAAAUGUAUUUUUUCUAAGAUGUUUGACGGUACCAGAUGAAUAAGCACCGGCUAACUCC
rnacentral:rRNA from 1 species